GGUAGCGUGGCCGAGCGGUCUAAGGCGCUGGUUUAAGGCACGAGUCUCUUCGGGGGCGUGGGUUCGAAUCCCACCGCUGCCA
rnacentral:tRNA from 1 species